CCUUCAUCCGCUCGGGCUGCAGCAUCUCUGAGGGAGCCGCGGAUUCAGCCUAUGAAACCUUCAGCAAUGAGCAAGCGCAAGCUGAAGGAGAGCAGUGCAGAAAGUGCUGAGUCCAUUUCCCAGGUGCAAAAAAUCUUACGUGAAAGAUUCUGUCACCAUUUCUGUGCUGCUGGAAAACUCUUUGGGAUGGAGCAGCAGUACAGACAUUUGCUGGAGCUGCUGAGAAGAACCACGGUGCACGGGGAGAGCAAUUCCGCCCUGGUUAUCGGCCCCCGGGGAUCCGGGAAAACCGCGUUAUUAAAUCAUGUCUUAAAAGACCUCAGGGAAAUGACACAAGUGAGAGAGAACCUCUUGGAAGUCCAUCUGAAUGGGCUUCUGCAGACAAAUGACAAAGUGGCCCUGAAGGAGAUCACCAGGCAGCUGCAGCUGGAAAAUGUGGUUGGGGACAAAGUUUUUGGCAGUUUUGCUGAAAACCUUGCCUUCCUCCUUGAAGCUCUGAGGAAAGGAAACCGAACCAGCAGCUGCCCAAUUUUGUUUGUCCUGGAUGAAUUUGAUCUGUUUGUCCACCACAAGAAUCAGAGCCUGCUCUACAACCUGUUUGACAUCUCCCAGUCUGCUCAGACCCCAGUGACAGUGAUUGGACUCACCUGCAGGCAGGAUAUCCUGGAGCUCUUGGAGAAGAGAGUAAAGUCAAGGUUCUCCCACAGGCAGAUAUAUUUGAUGAAUUCCUUUGAUUUUAAACAGUACAUUAAGAUAUUUAAGAAUCAGCUUUCUCUUCCUGCUGAAUUUCCCGAUGAGCCUUUUGCACAAAAGUGGAAUAAUAAUGUUCAGCAUCUGUCAGAGGAUAAAGCUGUGCAGGACGUGCUGCAGAAGCUCUUCCACCACAGCAAAGACCUGCGCUCGCUGCACCUGCUCCUGAUGCUGGCUGUCAGUGCAGUGACCGUGCACCACCCCCUGCUCACAGCUGCAGACCUGCAGGAGGCCAGCAGGCAGCACAGCACCGACUCCAAGGCAAACAUUGUCCAUGGUUUGUCUGUGCUGGAAAUCUGCCUCAUCAUAGCCAUGAAACACCUGAAUGAGGUCUAUGAUGGAGAACCAUUCAACUUCCAGAUGGUUUACAACGAAUUCCAGAAGUUCAUCCAGAGGAAGGCACAUUCCAUGUACAACUUUGAGAAGCCAGUUGUCAUGAAGGCCUUUGAGCACCUGCUGCAGCUGGAGCUGGUGCAGCCGCUGGAGCGGCCGUCGGCGCGGGCGCAGCGCGAGUUCCUGCUGCUGAAGCUGCUGCUGGACAGCAGCCAGAUCAUGGAGGCGCUGCAGCUCUACCCCAACUGCCCCACCGACGUCAAGCAGUGGGCAGCCUCCUCCCUCAGCUGGCUCUGAGCUCCGCAGGAGGCAGCGCUCCCCCACAGCAAGGUGCUCACAUCAGCAGGGCGUGGGAAGCAGCUUUCUUUGCUGAUCCGUUUGGGCUUUCCCAGGGAGAACGGUGCUGUUGUUCCCUUCCAGCAGCCAGGACUGUGCCUCACUCACAGCCCCAGGUGCUUUUAGCUCGGUGCCAACUCCUGCUCACGCCGUUCCCACUUGGCGAAAUCCAAGCUCUGGAGUUUGUCCCUGUGGCUGAGGGCUCUGGAUCCUGGCUCAGGCUUUGCUCUCCUGGUUCCCUUCUGCAGCCCCAUCAGGUCAAAGUUCACACUGCACUUUUCCAUCUCAAAUCUGACUUGACAUGGAAAAUUGACCCAAUUAAAUCUUUAAUCACAACCAAAUUUACUUCAUGACGUGUUCAAUCCAACAGGCUUCGGUUGCACGGGCUACUUUGUACCGAGUACAAGGUAACAUGUUUCCAUACCUGAUUUUUGUAGCAAAACUCAAGAGUCUGGCUCGAGAACUGCUGUAGGACCAUCCCCAUGAGUUUAAAAUAAAGUUUUCAAAGAAGCAUUUGCAAGUCAGAGUAGUCACAUUUUUUAUUUUCCCGCUGGGGAAGAGGGCAGAGUAUACAUUUGUAUUUGUACAAUAUUUAACAAUCACUUUAUUCAGGGCGAGGGGGGGUUGGUUGGUUUUUUUGGCACUUGCAGAAAAGCAGCAAGUGCCUUUUGACAGUAGUACAACAACCUGUGCCCAAAACACUGACAAAUACAAAGAGGAAAGUCAAAGUAAUCGCUCACCAAACUCGAGAGGUAACGAGGAGGAGAUGGACUGAAAAAAAAACAAAGGGAGGGAGAAAGCAAAGCAGUCCUGCUGGUUGAGUAUCUGAGGUAACAGAUGUUCCAUCAAGGAUGCUACUGGAGUUGUUUUGCCCAGGGAUGUGUAUUGCAGCUUCCUGUGUUUUGUACCAAGUGUUCCUGAUCAACAGAAAUGCCUUAAAAAGGUUAAAAAAGCUGGACAAGAGGAGAGGGGGUGACCUGACUGAUUGUGUGGAUGCUGAUGGGAGCAGGACAAGUGUCAGCACUGGUUACACUGAGGACUGAGAGCUACACCCCUGUGGUUCCUGGGGGAUUCCAGCUUGGGAAUACCAGCACUGGUUCAACCCCCUCCAGCAGCUCGGAGGACUUGGGACAGGAACUUGUCACCCUCACACUUAAAAACCACAGCUGGUGAGGCCAGGCACAGACAAAGGGCACUGCCCAAACAAUGCCAGAAUCCUCCCUGGCACAUUCCCAAAACAGGAAUUCACUCCCAAGGCCCUGGGGGCAUGGCUGGAGAUCAUUCUGACCCAUUGCAGAGCUCUGGGAAGGAGCAGCCUCUCCUCAGGGAUGCUACAUGAUGCUGGGAAAUCCCAGGCAGCUGGGAGUGAACAGGAGCUGAGCAGGGAUAUCCCAAAGGCAGCUCCAUGGGGAGGGGCACACACAGCAGGGACCUGGAUCCAGCAGAUCUCCAACAGCACAGAAUGGAAACAGCCCGGGAGGGUCAGGAGCCCCGAGGUGUCCGUGGAGAAGGACAGGGUGGGAUUCAUUCAGAACUCCAGCCUGUCCUGCUCUGUGUGAAGUUUAAUUAAAGUGGAGCAGAAAUGGAAGCCAAAGGGAAGCGUCCAGCCAAGAGGAUCCCACAAUCUGGAUUUCAUUCCUUUUCCCAAGGGCUCCUUGCAGUGGGAUCCUUGGGCAGUGGAACAUCAGCCCUUCCUCCCUCCCUGGCCAGAGCUGGCUCUGCUUUAUCCAUCGCAUCCCCUGUUCCCAGAUCUGGGUUCCAGCCAGCCUUCAGCAGCUCCCACCUGCUGCUUUCCAGAGACACUGGAGAGGACACACGGAGACAAGGACACACAGCACACCACGGGCCGCUGCUGGCACUGCACUCCUGGGCUUACAACAUUUAUUUGCCUUGGAAUUUGGUGUGAAGGAUCCAAUCAAUGCAGUGGGACGGGAUUUGGGAGAAGCACUUUGGCACCCAGCUACCAGUGACUGUAAUUCCAGCAGAAGGCUUGACAUCCUGAACUCCAGUGCUGGAGUUCUGAAGCCAUUUCCAUGUUUUUCCUCGAUUUUUGUGAGUCUGGACAUUGAAAUUCCUUUCGUUACCUCGGAAUGGUCGUUGCAUAUUGUGAGCAGAACUGGGUUAUCCCUGAAAUCUGUAACAUUUGGGAUCUGGAAUCUGCAGGUGGAACUUUGUGUGUGACUCCAGGCUCAACCUGUGGCUCACAGGCAGUGAGCUGCACCCCCCUCCGAUGGCACCGAGCUUUGGGUGGAGGGAAGCUGCCAGUCUCCAAGCAGAGGGUGAGGAAUGGGGGAACUGAGCUUCCUGAGGUGAUCCUGAAACAGCGGCACAGCCCCCACUGCCUGGGACAGGGAACGCGCGGCGACCUCGGCACAAACAUAAAUAGGAAAAAGACUCUUUCUCGAAAAAAACAACAAGAAUUCAGAGCUUUCCAGUGUCACAGCUCAGAGAAAAUAAAAAAAAAAAAA